ensembl:misc_RNA Metazoa_SRP Metazoan signal recognition particle RNA
GCCGGGCGUGGUAGCUCACGCCUGUAAUCCCAGGAGUUCGGGAGGCUGAGGUGGGUGGAUCACCUGAGGUCAGGAGUUCCAGACCAACCUGGCCAACAUGGUGAAACCCCAUCUCUA